AGUGAACGCUGGCGGUAGGCCUAACACAUGCAAGUCGAACGGCAGCACAGUAAGAGCUUGCUCUUACGGGUGGCGAGUGGCGGACGGGUGAGGAAUACAUCGGAAUCUACUUUUUCGUGGGGGAUAACGUAGGGAAACUUACGCUAAUACCGCAUACGACCUACGGGUGAAAGCAGGGGAUCUUCGGACCUUGCGCGAUUGAAUGAGCCGAUGUCGGAUUAGCUAGUUGGCGGGGUAAAGGCCCACCAAGGCGACGAUCCGUAGCUGGUCUGAGAGGAUGAUCGGCCACACUGGAACUGGGACACGGUCCAGACUCCUACGGGAGGCAGCAGUGGGGAAUAUUGGCCAAUGGGCGCAAGCCUGAUCCAGCCAUACCGCGUGGGUGAAGAAGGCCUUCGGGUUGUAAAGCCCUUUUGUUGGGAAAGAAAAGCAGCAGGUUAAGACCCCGCUGUUCUGACGGUACCCAAAGAAUAAGCACCGGCUAACUUCGU
rnacentral:rRNA from 1 species